GACGAACGCUGGCGGCGUGCUUAACACAUGCAAGUCGAACGGACUGACCCUGCCUUUGUGUGUCGCCUGAGUGCCGAACGGGUGAGUAACACGCGAGUAACCCCUCCUUGUCUUUGGGAUAACCUCAGGAAACAGGGGCUAAUACCACACAUGAGCUCCUGCUGCACGGUGUGGGAUGGAGAGUGUCGGCGGUUGGGUAUGGACUCGCGGCUUAUCAGCUUGUUGGUGUGGUAGUGGCUUACCAAGGCUUUGACGGGUAGCCGGCCUGAGAGGGUGACCGGCCACCUUGGGACUGGGAUACGCCCCAGACUCCUACGGCACGCAGCAGUGGGAAAUAUUGCACAAUGGGCGGACGCCUGAUGCAGCAACGCCGGGUGCGGGAUGGCCUCCUUCUCGUUGUCAACCGCUUUCGCAUGUGCUGGAGCCUGAGUGACGGUACCCGGUCAAGAAGCACCGGCUAACUACGUG
rnacentral:rRNA from 1 species